rnacentral:rRNA from 1 species
UACGAAGGGGACUAGCGUUGUUCGGAAUUACUGGGCGUAAAGCGCACGUAGGCGGAUUUGUAAGUCAGGGGUGAAAUCCCGGGGCUCAACCUCGGAACUGCCUUUGAUACUGCAAAUCUCGAGUCCGAUAGAGGUGGGUGGAAUUCCUAGUGUAGAGGUGAAGUUCGUAGAUAUUAGGAAGAACACCGGUGGCGAAGGCGGCCCACUGGAUCGGUACUGACGCUGAGGUGCGAAAGCGUGGGGAGCAAACAGG